CUUUGAAGUCGAUGAUUAUGCUAGGGUUGAUAAUGUUCUAGUGAAUGUGGAGCCAAAUAACCGAGACGAAGUUGAGUUCUGUUAUUUGGCUCCAGAUUCACGAGAACAUUAUCAACCCUAGCAUAAUCAUCGACU
rnacentral:pre_miRNA from 1 species